rnacentral:rRNA from 1 species
AGCGAACGUUAGCGGCGGGCUUAACACAUGCAAGUCGAGCGAGAAAGUGGCUUCGGCCAUCAGUAAAGCGGCGGACGGGUGAGUAACACGUAGGUAAUCUUCCCUUGAGCGGGGGACAACGUUUCGAAAGGAACGCUAAUACCGCAUACGUUUCUUGGGGCUCUGGCCCUGGGAAGGAAAGCUAGGCCGCAAGGUCCGGCACUCGAGGAGGAGCCUGCGUCGCAUCAGCUAGUUGGUGGGGUAAUGGCCUACCAAGGCGAAGACGCGUAG